rnacentral:rRNA from 1 species
UUUAAUGAGAGUUUGAUCCUGGCUCAGGAUGAACGCUGGCGGCGUGCUUAACACAUGCAAGUCGAACGAUUGAAGCUGGAGCUUGCUCCGGCCGAUUUAGUGGCGGACGGGUGAGUAACGCGUGGGUAACCUGCCUCAUACAGGGGGAUAGCAGUUGGAAACGAUUGGUAAAACCGCAUAAGCGCACGGUGCCGCAUGACACAGUGUGAAAACACUCCGGUGGUAUGAGAUGGACCCGCGUCUGA